rnacentral:rRNA from 1 species
CCUACGGGAGGCAGCAGUCGAGAAUCAUUCACAAUGGGGGAAACCCUGAUGGUGCGACGCCGCGUGGGGGAAUGAAGGUCUUCGGAUUGUAAACCCCUGUCAUGUGGGAGCAAAUUAAAAAGAUAGUACCACAAGAGGAAGAGACGGCUAACUCUGUGCCAGCAGCCGCGGUACUACAGAGGUCUCACGCGUUGUUCGGAAUCACUGGGCGUAAAGCGUGCGUAGGCUGUUUCGUAAGUCGUGUGUGAAAGGCGCGGGCUCAACCCGCGGACGGCACAUGAUACUGCGAGACUAGAGUAAUGGAGGGGGAACCGGAAUUCUCGGUGUAGCAGGGAAAUGCGUAGAUAUCGAGAGGAACACUCGUGGCGAAGGCGGGUUCCUGGACAUUAACUGACGCUGAGGCACGAAGGCCAGGGGAGCGAAAGGGAUUAGAUACCCCUGUAGUC